AGCGAACGCUGGCGGCAGGCCUAACACAUGCAAGUCGAACGGUAAGGCCCCAGCUUGCUGGGGUACACGAGUGGCGAACGGGUGAGUAACACGUGGGUGACCUGCCCCGCACUUCGGGAUAAGCCUGGGAAACUGGGUCUAAUACCGGAUAGGACCGCACCGUGAGGGUGUGGUGGAAAGUUUUUCGGUGUGGGAUGGGCCCGCGGCCUAUCAGCUUGUUGGUGGGGUAAUGGCCUACCAAGGCGGCGACGGGUAGCCGGCCUGAGAGGGUGGACGGCCACAUUGGGACUGAGACACGGCCCAGACUCCUACGGGAGGCAGCAGUGGGGAAUAUUGCACAAUGGGCGGAAGCCUGAUGCAGCGACGCCGCGUGGGGGAUGACGGCCUUCGGGUUGUAAACUCCUUUCACCAUCGACGAAGGUUUUCUGACGGUAGAUGGAGAAGAAGCACCGGCUAACUACGUG
rnacentral:rRNA from 1 species